rnacentral:tRNA from 1 species
ACCUGGUUGGCUCAGUCCAUAGAGCAUGCAACUCUUAACCGCAGGGCCAUGAGUUCAAGCCCCACAUUAGGUG